rnacentral:rRNA from 1 species
GACGAACGCUGGCGGCGUGCUUAACACAUGCAGGUCGAACGGUGAAAGCGGAGCUUGCUCCGCUGGAUCAGUGGCGAACGGGUGAGUAACACGUGGGCAACCUGCCCUUCACUUCGGGAUAACUCCGGGAAACCGGGGCUAAUACCGGAUAUGACCUCUGCGGGCAUCCGCGGAGGUGGAAAGUUUUUCGGUGAAGGAUGGGCCCGCGGCCUAUCAGCUUGUGGGUGGGGUAGUGGCCCACCAAGGCGACGACGGGUAGCCGGCCUGAGAGGGCGACCGGCCACACUGGGACUAAGAAACGGCCCAGACUCCUACGGGAGGGAGCAGUGGGGAAUAUUGCGCAAUGGGCGAAAGCCUGACGCAGCAAAGCCGCGUGCGGGAUGACGGCCUUCGGGUUGUAAACCGCUUUCAGCAGGGAAGAAGCCGCAAGGUGACGGUACCUGCAGAAGAAGCACCGGCUAACUACGUGCCAGCAGCCGCCGUAA